CACACACACACAGUCUGAGCAUUUAGUAACCCUUUCUUUGCGUGGGCUGCGUCUCCAUGCACCGAUGUCAGCCUUCCGCAUGUGGUUACAGUGUUUGUCAGACCAGGACCCAUCCUGAAAAUCGGCCUUCUAAUGAAAUGUCUGUACUGUCCGUUGUGUCUGUUGGGGCUAUAAACGAAUGACAUCACCAUCGAAAGCAGAGACAAUCACAAACACGUUGUUUUGCCCUACUCACCCACAAGCCUCAUAAAGCUCGUGUGAAACGAACCCGGAACCAGUUAAAAUAUCAGUGGCAGUACUUCAGUGCAGUAAAUAUUAAUGGCAGUACUUCAGUGCAGUAAAUAUUAAUGGCAGUACUUCAGUGCAGUAAAUAUUAUUGGCAGUACUUCAGUGCAGUAAAUAUUAUUGGCAGUACUUCAGUGCAGUAAAUAUUAAUGGCAGUACUUCAGUGCAGUAAAUAUUAUUGGCAGUACGUCAGUGCAGUAAAUAUUAAUGGCAGUACUUCAGUGCAGUAAAUAUUAAUGGCAGUACUUUAGUGCAGUAAAUAUUAUUGGCAGUACUUCAGUGCAGUAAGUAUUAAUGGCAGUACUUCAGUGCAGUUUUUCCUAGCCACCGUGCUUCUACACCUGCAUUGCUUGCUGUUUGGGGUUUUAGGCUGGGUUUCUGUACAGCACUUUGAGAUAUCAGCUGAUGUACGAAGGGCUAUAUAAAUAAAAUUUCAUUGAUUGAUUGAUUGAGUACUUCAGUACCAAUGUAAAAAAGGGGUUAAAGCUGCAAUAUCGAUCUUUUUGGGCAUCCUGACGAAAUUCACAUAGAAGUGUGACUUAUAUAGAUCUAUAUUCUCAUUGAAAGCAAGUCUAAGAAGCUCGGCAGGCAGCCCAGGUGUUAGAGUGUAGGGGCGGCAGGUAGCCCAGGGGUUAGAGUGUCGGGGCGGCAGGUAGCCCAGGGGUUAGAGUGUAGGGGUGGCAGGUAGCCCAGGGAUUAGAGUGUAGGGGCGGCAGGUAGCCCAGGGAUUAGAGUGUAGGGGCGGCAGGUAGCCCAGGGGUUAGAUUGUAGGUGCGGCAGGUAGCCCAGGGAUUAGAGUGUAGGGGCGGCAGGUAGCCCAUGGAUUAGAGUGUAGGGGCGGCAGGUAGCCCAGGGGUUAGAGUGUAGGGGCGGCAGGUAGCCCAGGUGUUAGAGUGUAAGGGUGGCAGGUAGCCCAGGGGUUAGAGUGUAGGGGUGGCAGGUAGCCCAGGGAUUAGAGUGUAGGGGUGGCAGGUAGCCCAGGGGUUAGAGUGUCGGGGUGGCAGGUAGCCCAGGGAUUAGAGUGUAGGGGCGGCAGGUAGCCCAGGGAUUAGAGUGUAGGGGCCGCAGGUAGCCCAGGGGUUAGAGUGUCGGGGUGGCAGGUAGCCCAGGGGUUAGAGUGUCGGGGUGGCAGGUAGCCCAGGGGUUAGAGUGUAGGGGUGGCAGGUAGCCCAGGGGUUAGAGUGUAGGGGUGGCAGGUAGCCCAGGGAUUAGAGUGUAGGGGUGGCAGGUAGCCCAGGGAUUAGAGUGUAGGGGUGGCAGGUAGCCCAGGGAUUAGAGUGUAGGGGUGGCAGGUAGCCCAGGGAUUAGAGUGUAGGGGUGGCAGGUAGCCCAGGGAUUAGAGUGUAGGGGUGGCAGGUAACCCCGGGAUUAGAGUGUAGGGGCGGCAGGUAGCCCAGUGGUUAGAGCGUUGUGCCAGUAACCAAAAGGUUGCUGGAUCAAAUC